GAGCGUUGUCCGGAAUUAUUGGGCGUAAAGAGCUCGUAGGCGGUUUGUCGCGUCUGCUGUGAAAUCCCGAGGCUCAACCUCGGGCCUGCAGUGGGUACGGGCAGACUGGAGUGCGGUAGGGGAGAAUGGAAUUCCUGGUGUAGCGGUGGAAUGCGCAGAUAUCAGGAGGAACACCGAUGGCGAAGGCAGUUCUCUGGGCCGUAACUGACGCUGAGGAGCGAAAGCGUGGGGAGCGAACAGG
rnacentral:rRNA from 1 species